UACGGAGGGUGCAAGCGUUAUCCGGAUUCACUGGGUUUAAAGGGUGCGUAGGAGGGCAGGGAAGUCCGUGGUGAAAUCCUAGAGCUUAACUCUAGAACUGCCGUGGAUACUCUCUGUCUUGAAUCCCGUGGAGAUGAGCGGAAUAUGUCAUGUAGCGGUGAAAUGCUUAGAUAUGACAUAGAACACCAAUUGCGAAGGCAGCUCGUUACACGAAGAUUGACUCUGAGGCACGAAAGCGUGGGGAGCGAACAGG
rnacentral:rRNA from 1 species